rnacentral:lncRNA from 1 species
UGCGUGUGUUUUCACCUAUGUGAUCACAUUUGGGGGUUGAGUCUGCAGGGACGCUAUCUGUAAUACGUGUGAUUUAGCACACAUCUGCUCUCACACACCGGGAGGAGAGAGCUGCAUUAGCUCACAGCACACACACACACAGGAAGAGAUACACACACACGGCGCUAAUUAACCUGGUGGUUCUCACAGCUGCUGGCCCGACUUUGCUCCUGCCAAGACGGACGUGGGUGGUUCCUCAACCUUAGUCAAUCUGCACUAAUUGCUGGUCUUCGCUCCCCUGCGUCUUUACCUCGUUGCCUGUCAGCGUUCUAUCUACCUGUCUGCUUUGACGAGCGACUCCCACGCGUUUGAGCCGCGGCGCCUCGCAGAAAAACACUGGGAAAAGAUUCGAUUUGGUGCCACAGAGGGAACCUUCUGAAUCUACAACAGCCGGAGGAACUUUAAACAACAUUCUCAAACAACCCCUGGGAGGUCCCUCACAUAAUCACCAAAAGAACAUUUCGAAUAUAUUUAUUAGGUAUGCGUUUAAUGCUAACAGCAGCAGGUUUCUGCGCUAAUUUCUCCACAGCUGACAUUAGAUG